AAGAGCCACAUGCCAUACAGAGGGUGUGAGGGCCCUAUUGUCACUGGGUCCUGUUGCGUAGGUAAGAAAGCAAAUACUGCUAAAUCAGAGAAAAAAUUCAGCAGCAAUCCUAGCUGUCUGACACACACAAAUCAGACCUUUCCUGGGCUAAUCUUCCUAUCAUUGGGGAGGCGGACAACAUCAGACGCUGGAAGUUGCACCCUUGAUGUCCUGCUGGUAAUUUGAAAGCCAAAUGUCUCCAGCUCCUGCUCAGUGAUGGGUCCUUUAUUUCCAUCGGGGACAACGAUUCAGAUUCUGACCUUUCUACAAAUAGCCCAUCUGGCAACAGGCCAGUUCAGAAUCCAUUCCCCUGACAACACUGUCAUUGGAGUCGCUGGAGAAGACGCUAUCCUACCCUGCUCCCUGUCAUCUCUGAGGGUCCCUCUCAGCCCUGCUGUCCAGUGGACACUUGUAAGACCUUUCAAGAGCAUAGAAGUGAGCUCCUAUAAUGGAGGAAGCCAAAGAGAAAGGCAGGGCGAGGGGUACCA